AUUGAACGCUGGCGGCAUGCUUUACACAUGCAAGUCGAACGGUAACAGGGUGCUUGCACCGCUGACGAGUGGCGAACGGGUGAGUAAUGCGUCGGAACGUGCCGAGUAGUGGGGGAUAACGCAUCGAAAGGUGUGCUAAUACCGCAUACGUACUGAGGUAGAAAGUGGGGGACCUUCGGGCCUCACGCUAUUCGAGCGGCCGACGUCUGAUUAGCUAGUUGGUGAGGUAAAGGCUCACCAAGGCGACGAUCAGUAGCGGGUCUGAGAGGAUGACGCGCCACACUGGGACUGAGACACGGCCCAGACUCCUACGGGAGGCAGCAGUGGGGAAUUUUGGACAAGGGGCGCAAGCCUGAUCCAGCCAUGCCGCGUGUCUGAAGAAGGCCUUCGGGUUGUAAAGGACUUUUGUCCGGGAGCAAAUACCCAGUGCUAAUAACGCUGGGGGCUGAGAGUACCGGAAGAAUAAGCACCGGCUAACUACGUGCCAGCCGCCGCCGUAAAAC
rnacentral:rRNA from 1 species